UUAUGCAAUGAAAGUUUAAAUUCAAAAAAAAAAAUAAAAGGGAACAAAAACUUUUGCUCAUCAUUUUACUCGGAGAAUAUCUAGAUUCAUUUGAGCGUGUACAGUUUUGUUUAUAAUAAGUGAAGAGAUGAAAAUAAUGAAACUGUAUGGUGCAGAAAGUGUCUUUUUCAUUACAGUUUCUGGUGCUGGGCAACGGUAGAUCACUAGGGCUUUGUACCGUGAAAUGAAGCUUAUGAUGAAAUAUUGGUGCUUGCCGUUCACUGACUCAAGAUCGUUCAGUGGUUAUCAUUGGCCAAUCUCACCAACGGGAUAUACUGAGCGUUUAUGUACCCGUGGCCAAGUAACAGCAAAGCGAGGUAAAAUGAGUAAAAAUUAAAUUUGAACUAAACUGAAAUUAUAUUAAAAAUAAAAUAAUUUAUAAAACAAUUAAUUGUAUUGUAUUUUUAUUGUAAUGUUGGAGUAUAAUGUAUUCUAAAUCCUGCUGUAUUUCUAUUGUAAAACAAUAGAAACAGUAAUUGAAAACAUUUAAAACACAAUGUUUUCUAUUGUUUUGUUGCUCGAAAUCAUCCCAUUGAAGAACCGUUAAAUCAAUUGUUUUGCUCAGAUUUUUAUAUGGAAAAUUUUCGAUUUUUUUAUUGUAAAGAUACAUAACAACCCCCCUUUUUUAUUGUAAAAGUCCCAUUUACCAUUCAUUUUAUCGUGGAAAACCAUUAUUUCUCAUGUGAUUUUAUUGUCAAAAUUCCAUUAUAUUCAAUGGUAAAACCUAUGUUUUAAAUGGUGUUGUAACAAUAAAAUUUAUGAUAUUUUAAUGAUAUUUUUUAU